rnacentral:rRNA from 1 species
ACGAACGCUGGCGGCGUGCUUAACACAUGCAAGUCGAACGGAAAGGCCCUGCUUUUGUGGGGUGCUCGAGUGGCGAACGGGUGAGUAACACGUGAGUAACCUGCCCUUGACUUUGGGAUAACUUCAGGAAACUGGGGCUAAUACCGGAUAGGAGCUCCUGCUGCAUGGUGGGGGGUGGAAAGUUUCGGCGGUUGGGGAUGGACUCGCGGCUUAUCAGCUUGUUGGUGGGGUAGUGGCUUACCAAGGCUUUGACGGGUAGCCGGCCUGAGAGGGUGACCGGCCACAUUGGGACUGAGAUACGGCCCAGACUCCUACGGGAGGCAGCAGUGGGGAAUAUUGCACAAUGGGCGGAAGCCUGAUGCAGCAACGCCGCGUGCGGGAUGACGGCCUUCGGGUUGUAAACCGCUUUCGCCUGUGACGAAGCGUGAGUGACGGUAAUGGGUAAAGAAGCACCGGCUAACUACGU